GACGAACGCUGGCGGCGUGCUUAACACAUGCAAGUCGAACGGAAAGGCCCUGCUUUUGUGGGGUGCUCGAGUGGCGAACGGGUGAGUAACACGUGAGUAACCUGCCCUUGACUUUGUGAUAACUUCAGGAAACUGGGGCUAAUACCGGAUAGGAGCUCCUGCUGCAUGGUGGGGGUUGGAAAGUUUCGGCGGUUGGGGAUGGACUCGCGGCUUAUCAGCUUGUUGGUGGGGUAGUGGCUUACCAAGGCUUUGACGGGUAGCCGGCCUGAGAGGGUGACCGGCGACAUGGGGACUGAGGUACGGACCAGACUGCUACGGGAGGCAGCAGUGGGGAAUAUUGCAGAAUGGGCGGAAGCCUGAUGCAGCAACGCCGCGUGCGGGAUGACGGCCUUCGGGUUGUAAACCGCUUUCGCCUGUGACGAAGCGUGAGUGACGGUAAUGGGUAAAGAAGCACCGGCUAACUACGUG
rnacentral:rRNA from 1 species